rnacentral:lncRNA from 1 species
CAGUACAAUCACUAGUGAAGCAAUGAUCAUUCGACGUGUCAGGCAAUAUGUAUCGCUAAUCAGUUUCUAACAUCUCAUGAUUGUAAGCUAAUUUUGAAGCAUCACAAUGUAAUCGAGUAUGCUUUGUACUAAUCUAUACCUGAAUUCUAUCAGUCCUGUGCUAACCUGAAUUUGGAAGCAACUGUAUCUGCUCUUAGCUAGCGAGAAUAUGCACAAGUAGCAGCUCAAAAGCAAGAAAGAAACAAACAACGCCCUGUUCUACAAAUUUCUUGGUCCUCUUUCUGCUAAUUUGACUUCAAGCAAUCAUAAGUGAGUUGCAUUCCGGCAGCAACUCAUGUCAAUCAAAAUUUGGAACUCAGCGAUAUUAGAAGAAGCUACAAAAGCAACGAGUUGAACCAAAGCCAAAGAACAAGAGAACCAGUGUUUUACCCGUCACUUGCGCUCCAUCAAACUUGGCAUAAGCCUCCAGAUUUCGCCUCUCAGCUUUAUCCACCGCAUCGGCAUCGGCCUCCUCCUUCACGGCGGCAAACCAUCUGUUCUUCCCGUCCAUGCGCCCGCCCUAAUCGACACAGCAAUCGCAGACCACCACUCGCAAUCAUGCCCAUCGUUCUGCUGCGGCGUGAACCCUUCCACGAACACCACCGCUGGCGAACCACACCCUCCUGACGUGAACCCUUCACCCCGUUGAACGACGGCCUUGAUGCCAGGAGAUCAAUCAGUUCGUGCCGCCGGUUGAGGCCAGGGCAGCUAUCGUGGUGCACGAACUGAUCCAUCUCCUGGCAUCAAGGGCGUCGUUGAACGGAACGAAGUCCCAGUCGAGGAGGCGGAGGGUUUUAGGGGGUGGGGGCAGUUUGGGGAGCCAGAACGAGACGGAGGGCUUGGGAGGCGGACGAAGUAGAACUGAAUGAGAGGCGGUCGUUGAGGGGCUUGGAUGGAAGUGGAGGUCGGAUCGCCUCAGAACCAACGUCGC